GCGGUGUCCGUCGUGGCCACCGGCCUCGCCGGUAUCUUCGCGACGAUCCUGUUCCGCUCGCAGUUCGGGCUCACAAGCCUCGCGGUGCGCGAAAACAAUCUUCGCGUCGAGUAUCUCGGCACCUCCGCGAACCGCAUUGUCACCAUCAACUUCGUGAUCGCCGCGACCUUCGCAGGUGCCAGCGGCGCGCUCGCGCUGAUGGCGCAGCGGCACAUCGAUCCGGAAUUCGCCUACUGGACCACGUCCGGCGAGUUCGUUUUCAUCGCUGUCCUUGCGGGCACGCAAAGCGUUGCCGCUGUGUUCAUUUCGGCGCUUGUGCUCGAGCUGGUGCGCUCGUUCUCCAAUCUCUAUA
rnacentral:misc_RNA from 1 species